rnacentral:rRNA from 1 species
UACGGAGGGGCGAGCGUUGUCCGAAGUUACUGGCGUAAAGCGCGCGUAGGCGGGUUGGCAAGUCCGCUGUGAAAGCCCGAGGCUUAACCUCGGCGGGUCGGUGGAAACUGCCAUUCUUGAGUGCGGAAGAGGGAAGUGGAAUUCCUGGUGUAGCGGUGAAAUGCGUAGAUAUCAGGAAGAACACCGGUAGCGAAGGCGGCUUCCUGGUCCGUAACUGACGCUGAGGCGCGAAAGCGUGGGGAGCAAACAGGAUUAG